rnacentral:rRNA from 1 species
ACCGGCGGCUCGAGUGGUGGCCACUAUUACUGGGCUUAAAGCGUUCGUAGCUGGUUUGUUAAGUCUCUGGGGAAAUCUUCCGGCUUAACCGGAAGGCGUCUCAGGGAUACUGGCAGACUAGGGACCGGGAGAGGUGAGGGGUACUCCAGGGAGAGGAGUCAAAACCUGUAAUCCGUGGGGGACCACGUGUGGCGAAGGCGCCUCCCCAGAACGGCUCCGACAGUGAGGGACGAAAGCUUGGGGAGCAAACCG